rnacentral:rRNA from 1 species
UACGUAGGUGGCAAGCGUUGUUCGGAAUUAUUGGGCGUAAAGGGCGCGUAGGCGGUCUUGUAAGUCAGCUGUGAAAGCCCGGGGCUCAACCCCGGAGGGUCGGCUGAUACUGCAGGACUGGAGUACGGAAGAGGUAGCUGGAAUUCCCGGUGUAGCGGUGAAAUGCGUAGAUAUCGGGAGGAACAUCAGUGGCGAAAGCGGCUUCCUGGUCCAGUACCGACGUUCAGGCACGAAAGCGUGGGGAGCAAACAGG